AGCACAUUCAAGUCUGAUGACAUAUUCAGAAACUGCGAAUUUGCAAGACAAAAUUUGUGCAGUGGGUAUCUACCCAAAGUUUGACAACAAGUGCACAUCGCCAGAGGUUCACUUCCUCUCCAGGUGCUCUGCUGACUAACGAUUUGACUUCAGCCAGAGAAAGGUAAAAAAUAAAAUGCUUGGGGCAUCUUUGGCUGAAAGUUCCUUUUUAAAAAUGACUUUUGAACAAUACUUGGUAUUUGUCAACUGCAGGACUGAAUGAGUCACACAUCCUGACUCACAUCACAUCCCAUCCAAACAUGACUCGGCUCAGUUGGACUGCUUGGGUUUUGUUAGUGAGCAUUUUGCAGAUUUCAGGUGAGUACAUGAUUUCUGCUGAAUCUUUACAGGACACUUGUUGUGUUAGCUAAACGUUCAGCAAGUGCUAGUGUAUCACAAUUCAUUUUUCUUUAAAUGAAUUAUACUUUUAGAGCAUGAAGAUUGCGGAUUUUGGUGUCACAAGCUCAACUAUGGUAGCUUUAAUGUCAAUGUCAACUAAAUGUGUAAAAACAAUUUUUGACCUUUUAUUUCAGGUGAAACGAAAACUCUAAAAAAUUAUAAUUUCAUGGAUAUCAGAAAAUGUUUCCAGGAAAAAAAGAGUUUUGUAGUUGUCGAUAGUUUCUAUGGCAAUAUCAGUGCAAAACCCUACCGGAAUCAGACCCAAGUGAAUUGCACAGUAUUUGUAGAGACAAACGGAACUGAAUUGGAAAAUUAUACCAGAAGCAUUCAGGACACUUGGCCAAAAAUUAAAAGCAAUAGCAGCAUUUUGAAACUUCACAUUUCAAAAUGGCAUUUAGAUCAAGGCGGGCGUAUGUAUGUUCUGUAUGGGAAAUUCUGCAACCGCACACAAUUUAACUUUACAGAUCCAGGUGAAAACUGUGUCUUCAAUACCACAAACACAGAGUGUCAGAUUAGAUGUAUCAAUACAAGCACGGUGUGUAAAAAAUCUACCUACAGUGAAGAUUCCUGCCAUAACAUGGCUCCAGAUCUCCGGAAUGAUUACAUAAUCGACAUAAACUCAACAACCGCCAACUGUGUAAACUGUAACAAUCCAGUGAAAAAGCCUGAGGAGAAAAAAGUACUUAAUACAACACUUACUUCAGGAGGAGGAGAAAUUAAUGCUGCCAAAGCUGUUGAACUAAUAAAAGACUUAAGGAACUUGGCUGCCGACAUAAAUGGAUCUUCAGCUGAAAUAACUGUAGGGGAAGGAGUCAAAGGAGUUUUGGUGAAAGAAACACAUAAAGAUGAAGUAGCGGAAGUAUUAUUUGCUUAUCAGUCUCCAAAUGACAGCAUAAAUAUUAUAGACAACACAGAAACUUUGAAAACAUUUUCAAGAGCUGUUACGGUGCCAAAAGAAGCUUUUGAUAAAGCUGUUGCUCAAAACGUCAGUAUCCCAUUUGCAGCUGUUUUCCGAUUUAUUAAUAUGGCUAAGGAUGAGAAGAACAGUACUGUUUUAGGGAAUGAAGUUUUAGCUAUUGAGAUGGGAGCUACUAUCGCCAACCUCACAGACAACAUAAACAUUGUUUUUACAAAUAUGACAUAUGUAAGUGAAAAGUUUGUCCAUGGGUCUUUUUCUCUAUUUUGUUUUCCAUUUUAA
rnacentral:lncRNA from 1 species